UGUGGUUUAAUUGAAUGCAAAGCAAAUAACCUUACUAGAGCUUGACAUGUUGUAAAUCCCCUUAAAAAAAAGGGUGCUAUUAGGAAUGCAAAUACAUGUGAUGCAUGAUUGUUUUCAACUCAUGCAAUAAGGUGUUUGGUUAAGUCCCACAACGAGCGCAACCCUUGUGUUUAGUUGCCACCGUCAAGUUUGAAUUAAUGAGCAAACUGCUAGUAAUGAGCUAGACGAAAGUGAAGAUGACGUUAUGCCUUUAGUUUUUUUUUAUUGUUUAACAUG
rnacentral:ncRNA from 1 species